AGAGCCUGCAAAGGCAGAGUCAGGGGUGGCCGUCAAAGGAGUGACUCUGGUCCUCCGGGAGGGAACUUCCAGGGGGCUUGAGGGCUUUCGGAGACCAAGGCCCAGAGCAGAGACGAAUGUGGCCAAAGGCAUGGACCAGCUGUGUGGACCCGGGACCAGAAGUCUCUUCACUUCUCUGAGGUUCCGUGUUCCCAGCUGUUAAGCAGGACUAAUGGCACCUCCUGGCAGGGCUGACAUGAGGAUCACCUGGUCAAAGGCUCGGCACCUCCCCGCAGGGCUGACGAGAGGAUCACCUUGUCAAAGGCUCGGGACCAGCUUUCCCACGCUUCAAGGGCACCGGCGAAGGAGCUGGCAGCCUUGCUAUGGCUCCCUCUGACUAGGCUGGAGGAUGCAGCCACGCCCCUGGAGGCCAGGGCCAUCCAGUGGCCAACAGAGCGAGGGUAAGAGAUUUUUGAGGGGAAAGAAUGAGAAGAGAGGAGGAGGUGACAGUGUGCUGGCGGAUCCUGGUGUUCUUAAGGACAAGACCAAGUGAGCGUCUGGGACAACCACCCCCUCUAUGCAGCACUUGAGGAUCCCAUUUCUGGGGCCCUGGUCACAUCAGGCACUCCUUGAGGGUGGGGCCUCCACUCCCCCCAUUAGGCUGGGACACAGUCUCCUCCGUCAGACCAGCAGUGCUUUCUCCCUCCCUGCACAAUUUCCUUGUCUGCCCUCCCAGCACUCCCCAGGGCUGAGGAAUAUUCUGAGGGGGUGAGCUCCCCAGGACCUGCGCCUGGCGUCAAUAGGAGGGGAGGGGAGUGUGAAAAGCUGGGCCUUCUCUUUUUAAGGCUGAGGAUGGACGCCUCACAGGGUCGGGAUGUCAAACUUCUGUAGCUGCUCCCAGAUAGGACAGGAAACAGUUUAAAGGGCAAGGCUGGGGAGGCGGGGGUCCCUGAGGACCUACUUCUGACGUGUACCCUUAGUGUGGCUGGAGGAGCACUGGGCUGCAAGCCACAAGUCCAGGGAUCUAGGCCUGGUUCUGCCUCGACACCUUGGGGGACCCUGACUCCUACUGACUGUCCCUUCUGGAUCAUCCGGCACUGAGGGACCACAUUAAGCUCAAAUUUGGAAGAUGGAAGGAUGCUGGGGGACUGAGGGAGGCCCCGUCCAGGUUGGGUGGUCCAGGCAGGGGGUAGGUGAGCUGAGAUCCUCUCCAUCUCCCAGACUGCCCCACAGAGACUUUGCUAAGUAGGCCCUUUAAGUCCACUGCCUGCUCCUAGCCAGCUCACAUCCCCCUUGAAGUUCAACUACCAUUACACCCCAAAGAUGGAGCUGUGAGAUUCAGCCCUGGUGCCAGCUGUGGCCCCAGCGCCCACCCUAAAGGUUGGCCUGCUGCAAGGGCAGGACCCACGGG